GAUCUGGUUCAGGAUGAACGCUAGCGACAGGCCUAACACAUGCAAGUCGAGGGGCAGCGGGAUGAAGCUUGCUUAAUGCCGGCGACCGGCGCACGGGUGCGUAACAGGUGUGCAAUCUGUCCAUAUCGGGGGAUAGCCCAGCGAAAGCUGAAUUAACACUCCAUGUGAAUCGAAGCCGCAUGACUUUGAUUUGAAACGCAAGGACUAUGGGUGAGCACGCUUCUGAUUAGGUAGUUGGUGGGGUAACGGCCCACCAAGCCAACGAUCAGUAGGGGUUCUGAGAGGAAGGUCCCCCCACAUUGGAACUGAGACACGGUCCAAACUCCUACGGGAGGCAGCAGUGAGGAAUAUUGGUCAAUGGGCGAGAGCCUGAACCAGCCAAGUCGCGUAGAAGGAUGAAGGUUCUAUGGAUUGUAAACUUCUUUUGUCCGAGGGUAAAGAAGGCUACGUGUAGCUUCUUGCAAGUAUCGGACGAAUAAGCAUCGGCUAACUCCGUGCCAGCCGCCGC
rnacentral:rRNA from 1 species